rnacentral:rRNA from 1 species
UACAGGGGGGGCAAGCGUUGUUCGGAAUUACUGGGCGUAAAGGGCUUGUAGGUGGCCAACUAAGUCACACGUGAAAUCCCCAGGCUUAACCUGGGAACUGCGUGUGAUACUGGAUGGCUUGAAUCCGGGAGAGGGAUGCGGAAUUCCAGGUGUAGCGGUGAAAUGCGUAGAUAUCUGGAGGAACACCGGUGGCGGAGGCGGCAUCCUGGACCGGUAUUGACACUGAAAAGCGAAAGCCAGGGGAGCAAACGGG